rnacentral:lncRNA from 1 species
CCUGGCCUCCCACGAAGGGCCCUCCGAUGAUCAUUCGUACACUACCAGCACGGGUGUUACGGUUGGCUUCCUGGUUAUUUGUCCUUUCAGCUUUCUUUUCCUUAUAUUUCUUAGCCUCUUGGGCUACGAACUCCGUCAGGUAUCCUGUUCUGAUAAGAUCCUCUAUGUGGUCUUUAAGAUGAAUACAUUCCGCUGUGUCGUGCCCAUUCAAAUCGUGGAAAGCGCAAUAUUUUCCCUGGUCUUUCUUUCCAGGGGGUCCACUUCGAAAGGGCUUCCGGAAGAGUCUCGCCUUAUCUCCGACCUCAAAAAUGUGAUCUAU